UGGCUUUUGGGAAGAUGGAAUCUUGUUAUUUCUCUGUAACAAAGCCAUCAUCAUCUUCAACUAUUCUGAAUUUUCAGGGUGUUUCAUCUCUUGGUGGUAGAUCGUCUCAGAAAUCCUUAGGUGCCCCAUCUCAUCUUUCCUGGCCAUUAUCUGGACCUAAUAAGAAAAGUCAAAAUUUUGUUUAUAGGCGGAAGACGUUUAAGGGACCCAUAUUGGCAGAAGCUGGAAAACAAGGUUGGGAUUUUGGCAGAUUUAUAAAGACAUUAUAUUUUUUUAAUGGCCCUCCUUCCCCUGCAAAGUUCUUUGAAUCACUGAUUGAGAAACUAACUGGUCCAUCGCCUAGUAAACCAGUUAACUCGAUGGAUUCUUCUGGAAUUACCCUGGUAACUGGAGCCACUGGUGGUGUUGGGAGAAGAGUGGUGGACGUAUUACGCAACAAGAAACUGUCUGUCCGAGUACUCGUCAGAAAUGAAGAGA
rnacentral:misc_RNA from 1 species